UGCAAGGAAAGGUCAUUCUGCUACCGGGUGGGUGACAUUUGAGCCAGAAGUAGGGAUUGCUGAGCAGCAGGACAAACUGGCAUAUUAGCUCGUCCUCUACUGGGCCCCAGCCCAGAGACAGGCUUUAGGAAGAGAAGUGGGAUAGUUAUGACGUGACUAAACCAGUGAACAAUUCUGUCAGCCAUAUCAUUUUUAGAUGGAGUUUACCAAGCAUGGAAUUUCACAAAAUAUCGUUUUGGUUUUGCCCUGUGGGAAAUUUAUGAUAUAAAACAAAUUAAACCAGCUCUAUUUACUCACAAGGAAAGACAUAUUUCUGAAAAAAUUUGAAGAAAUGCAAGAUCGUUACACUUCAA
rnacentral:lncRNA from 1 species